CGUUAAGCGAUGACCAAGAGCCUUUUAGCAAGCGGCUGGCAGCGAGGGUCCGCCUGGUGAAAAGGACCUCAGCCAAGGCUAAAAGGGUAGCUUGCGAGCAAGCCUUCUGAAUCCAGUAGGAAGGUUCGGUUCAUUUACCGUUAUCAAAUGGUCAAGUGGGGAUGGGUUUGCCCAUCCCAAAUUAGGUGGUACCGCGAGCAGUCUCGUCCUAUGU
rnacentral:ncRNA from 1 species